UAGAUACUCCCUCCGUUCCGAAUUACUUGUCGCACGUAUGGAUGUAUCUAGAUGUAUUUUAGUUCUAGAUACAUCCAUCUCAGCGACGAGUAAUUUGGAACGGAGGGAGUACGUA
rfam:Triticum aestivum genome assembly, contig: Triticum_aestivum_CS42_TGACv1_scaffold_577697_7BL